rnacentral:rRNA from 1 species
AGAACGAACGCUGGCGGCGUGGAUAAGACAUGCAAGUCGAACGCGAUUUAUCAGGUUAGCAAUAACUUGGUAAAUUGAGUGGCGAAAGGGUGCGUAACACGUGGGAAUUUACCGAAAAGUGGGGAAUAGCUCGGCGAAAGCCGAAUUAAUACCGCAUGUGGUCGCAAGACCAAAGCCGGGGACCGCAAGGCCUGGCGCUUUUUGAGAAGCCCGCGGCCCAUCAGCUAGUUGGUGAGGUAAUGGCUCACCAAGGCUAUGACGGGUAGCUGGUCUGAGAGGACGACCAGCCACACUGGAACUGAGACACGGUCCAGACACCUACGGGUAGCAGCAGUCGAGAAUUUUUCACAAUGGGGGC